GGGUUGUGAGGUUAAGCGACUAAGCGUACACGGUGGAUGCCCUGGCAGUCAGAGGCGAUGAAGGGCGUACUAAUCUGCGAUAAGCGCCGGUAAGGUGAUAUGAACCGUUAUAACCGGCGAUACCCGAAUGGGGAAACCCAGUGUGAUUCGUCACACUAUCAUUAACUGAAUCCAUAGGUUAAUGAGGCGAACCGGGGGAACUGAAACAUCUAAGUACCCCGAGGAAAAGAAAUCAACCGAGAUUCCCCCAGUAGCGGCGAGCGAACGGGGAGGAGCCCAGAGCCUGAAUCAGCAUGUGUGUUAGUGGAAGCGUCUGGAAAGGCGCGCGAUACAGGGUGACAGCCCCGUACACAAAAGCGCAUGUGCUGUGAGCUCGAUGAGUAGGGCGGGACACGUGGUAUCCUGUCUGAAUAUGGGGGGACCAUCCUCCAAGGCUAAAUACUCCUGACUGACCGAUAGUGAACCAGUACCGUGAGGGAAAGGCGAAAAGAACCCCGGCGAGGGGAGUGAAAAAGAACCUGAAACCGUGUACGUACAAGCAGUGGGAGCACCCUUUGGGUGUGACUGCGUACCUUUUGUAUAAUGGGUCAGCGACUUAUAUUCUGUAGCAAGGUUAACCGAAUAGGGGAGCCGGAGGGAAACCGAGUCUUAAUUGGGCGUUAAGUUGCAGGGUAUAGACCCGAAACCCGGUGAUCUAGCCAUGGGCAGGUUGAAGGUUGGGUAACACUAACUGGAGGACCGAACCGACUAAUGUUGAAAAAUUAGCGGAUGACCUGUGGCUGGGGGUGAAAGGCCAAUCAAACCGGGAGAUAGCUGGUUCUCCCCGAAAGCUAUUUAGGUAGCGCCUCGUGAAUUCAUCUCCGGGGGUAGAGCACUGUUUCGGCUAGGGGGCCAUCCCGGCUUACCAACCCGAUGCAAACUGCGAAUACCGGAGAAUGUUAUCACGGGAGACACACGGCGGGUGCUAACGUCCGUCGUGAAGAGGGAAACAACCCAGACCGCCAGCUAAGGUCCCAAAGUCAUGGUUAAGUGGGAAACGAUGUGGGAAGGCCCAGACAGCCAGGAUGUUGGCUUAGAAGCAGCCAUCAUUUAAAGAAAGCGUAAUAGCUCACUGGUCGAGUCGGCCUGCGCGGAAGAUGUAACGGGGCUAAACCAUGCACCGAAGCUGCGGCAGCGACACUGUGUGUUGUUGGGUAGGGGAGCGUUCUGUAAGCCUGUGAAGGUGUGUCGUGAGGCAUGCUGGAGGUAUCAGAAGUGCGAAUGCUGACAUAAGUAACGAUAAAGCGGGUGAAAAGCCCGCUCGCCGGAAGACCAAGGGUUCCUGUCCAACGUUAAUCGGGGCAGGGUGAGUCGACCCCUAAGGCGAGGCCGAAAGGCGUAGUCGAUGGGAAACGGGUUAAUAUUCCCGUACUUGGUGUUACUGCGAAGGGGGGACGGAGAAGGCUAUGUUGGCCGGGCGACGGUUGUCCCGGUUUAAGCGUGUAGGCUGGUUUUCCAGGCAAAUCCGGAAAAUCAAGGCUGAGGCGUGAUGACGAGGCACUACGGUGCUGAAGCAACAAAUGCCCUGCUUCCAGGAAAAGCCUCUAAGCAUCAGGUAACAUCAAAUCGUACCCCAAACCGACACAGGUGGUCAGGUAGAGAAUACCAAGGCGCUUGAGAGAACUCGGGUGAAGGAACUAGGCAAAAUGGUGCCGUAACUUCGGGAGAAGGCACGCUGACACGUAGGUGAAGUGAUUUACUCAUGGAGCUGAAGUCAGUCGAAGAUACCAGCUGGCUGCAACUGUUUAUUAAAAACACAGCACUGUGCAAACACGAAAGUGGACGUAUACGGUGUGACGCCUGCCCGGUGCCGGAAGGUUAAUUGAUGGGGUCAGCGCAAGCGAAGCUCCUGAUCGAAGCCCCGGUAAACGGCGGCCGUAACUAUAACGGUCCUAAGGUAGCGAAAUUCCUUGUCGGGUAAGUUCCGACCUGCACGAAUGGCGUAAUGAUGGCCAGGCUGUCUCCACCCGAGACUCAGUGAAAUUGAACUCGCUGUGAAGAUGCAGUGUACCCGCGGCAAGACGGAAAGACCCCGUGAACCUUUACUAUAGCUUGACACUGAACAUUGAGCCUUGAUGUGUAGGAUAGGUGGGAGGCUUUGAAGUGUGGACGCCAGUCUGCAUGGAGCCGACCUUGAAAUACCACCCUUUAAUGUUUGAUGUUCUAACGUGGACCCGUUACCCGGGUUGCGGACAGUGUCUGGUGGGUAGUUUGACUGGGGCGGUCUCCUCCUAAAGAGUAACGGAGGAGCACGAAGGUUGGCUAAUCCUGGUCGGACAUCAGGAGGUUAGUGCAAUGGCAUAAGCCAGCUUGACUGCGAGCGUGACGGCGCGAGCAGGUGCGAAAGCAGGUCAUAGUGAUCCGGUGGUUCUGAAUGGAAGGGCCAUCGCUCAACGGAUAAAAGGUACUCCGGGGAUAACAGGCUGAUACCGCCCAAGAGUUCAUAUCGACGGCGGUGUUUGGCACCUCGAUGUCGGCUCAUCACAUCCUGGGGCUGAAGUAGGUCCCAAGGGUAUGGCUGUUCGCCAUUUAAAGUGGUACGCGAGCUGGGUUUAGAACGUCGUGAGACAGUUCGGUCCCUAUCUGCCGUGGGCGCUGGAGAACUGAGGGGGGCUGCUCCUAGUACGAGAGGACCGGAGUGGACGCAUCACUGGUGUUCGGGUUGUCAUGCCAAUGGCACUGCCCGGUAGCUAAAUGCGGAAGAGAUAAGUGCUGAAAGCAUCUAAGCACGAAACUUGCCCCGA
rnacentral:rRNA from 1 species